UUUUUGGGACAUAUUAUAUACCAAAUUGAAGGACUUGGAAUUUAGUUUUCAAUGCUCUUAACCGUUCAUUCAUGCGACAUCCGGAUAAAAAGAUAUAAGUAUUUGAAAAAAGGCCAAUGAGAUGGUGCCAAGUAGCACCUUUUGACUUUUCAACCAAAAUGGAUAUUUAUCUUCCUAUGUCAUCUCUUUCUUCAUAAUUCCAGAGAGCUCGACCAAAUAAGACCCCUAACCUCACCCUUAAGCUGUCCACAAGGUUAUCCAACAAGAUUAUCGUCCGAGGCACGAAAUCACGAAGCAAUAACACUAGAACGAUCCCCACGAUGUAAGUAUCGCUAUAUAUCCUCUCUUUUUCUUUGUAGUUUGAGUUUUGGAAAGUAUUUUGAAGUUAAUAAAAAUGCCUAAUUUCCGGUUUCAAGCUCUUAAACAUCAAGGAAGAUUGAUUAAUUUAUUUCAUAAUAGUUAGAACUCACGGGACGGUGAUCGAAAGCCGUGAGUUCGAGUUAUUUGAUUUGUAAUAGAUUGUUGUGUGGGCUGUUUCGUAUAGCUUUUGGGCUGUAUAUUUUGCUGCUAUUUAAUGGAGUUUUUGAAAGAUAAAUUGUGUGGAGAAACACCAUCUAAUGGCAAAAUGAUGGAUUAGUCAUUCUUUGUAAUAUUUUCGGGGCGUUGGACACUACUAUAGUCGUCGUUUUUGGAUGAAUUGAUUAGGGUGUGUUGGGUUGUAGUAAUCUAAAUAUAACAUGGAUUUCGACUUGCAUCCACUGUAGGAGGUAAUUAUAUUGUGUUCCUACAGGCGCUUAAGGUUAUCUUGGCAUUGGUUAAGUUAAAUGGAUGAACUAGACAUGAACUAGUGUAUAAAGUUGCUAAUUAAGAAUAAUUGAAAUUGUGGAUCAUUUUCUUUGUUAUGGAUAUAUGGUAUAAGGCUGGAAUUAUUAAUGAAUGACUUCAUUAUUUUGUUAAUGAUACUAUUAAGUUAAAGUAAAAAGUCUAUAAGGGAUGAUAUGGGGUAUACGAAUUCCAAUUGGAGCUUGUCACUCGUCGUAAAAUAGUUAUGACUUGUUGUUGUUUUAUGGUGUCUUGUUAUUGAUAAUUAUGUAUUGCUGGAUUUCUUUGGUAAUUCUUGUUGGUAUAUGGUAUUGGAGGGGGCUUUUGUUUUAGGGGAGAUGCUUCCCGAAUUUAUAUAAACGAACUACAAGUUUGAGUUGCAGACUUAGCCUUUAUUCAACACCGAUUUUGAAUCUCCUUAUGCAAUGGUAGAUUGAGUUGAGUUGUUUGAAGGGUAUCUUGGGAGGUAUUAAGGACUCACCAUGGUUAAGGUAUGUUAAGGCACUUCCCUCUUUCUUUUGGCAUGAUCUAAAGUGAAAUGAAUACGCUAUUUCAUAACGGAUCUACUCCUAGAAACUAAGGUUGCCCAUGUUGUUCUUUCCUUAUAAAGUUAUUCUAAGCAAGUAUGUAUGAUCCUUGAAUCCUAUAGAAGCUCAUAUUGAUGGUAUGAUGUCCAUAAUGUUAAUCGAAGGUGCAACGACCUUAAGUCACUCCAAAAGGUUUAGAACGUGAUUCCAUGAGUCUAGUAUGCAUUAUAUAUAGUAUCUAUUUUACUCUACCGAGCCGCGCUAUAGUAGGCCGGGUACGACACCUAUUGUGCAACCACUAAUUAGUUGGAUUUACUGAGCUCCACAUGGUCGGGUAUGAUUCUACCGAGCCUUAUGAUGGCCGGGUACAUUUUUACCGAGUCCUCUUUGAGGUCGGGUACGAUAUGAUGAUGAUGAUGCCCACAGAGGCGUAUGUUUUUAAAAGUUUAUGUAUAUAUAUGUAUUAUGCAUUUCAUGUUAGUAUCCCCAGAGGCACUCAGAUGUUACAGGUUAUAUCUCAUCUAUCUCUCUUUAUAUUACUGUUCUUGUUUAUGUUUUCCUGCCUUACAUACUCGGUACUUUAUUUGUACUGACGUCCCUUUUGCCUGGGGACGCUGUUUCAUGCCCGCAGGUCCCAAUUGAUAGGUUGUCAUUCCUCCUAGUAGGCUAUCAGCUCAGCGGAGGUGUUGGUGCACUCCACUUGCUCCGGAGUUGCCUAUUUGGUCAGUAUGCUUUGGAUAUGUAUUGAUUGAUAUGGCGGGGCUCUGUCCCAACCUUUAUGAUUUUAUGUACUCUUAGAGGCUUGUAGACAAAUGUCAGGUUUAUGGAUACUUGUAUGGCCUUGUUGGCCUAUGUGUUGAAUUUACACAUGGUCAUGUCAGCCUUAUAGGCCCGUAUGUCACAUGUAUAAGUUUGUAUAUCAUGUUGGGUCAUCAUAUGUUGAGUAUUCCCGUAUGUUUUAUUUUUGUUAUCUCAUGACGGGUUUCUGGCUCAUUUACUCAAGAUAGUAUAAUAAGAAAGAUAUGGCGGGGCUCUGUCCCAACCUUUAUGAUUUUAUGUACUCUUAGAGGCUUGUAGACAGAUNNNNN
rnacentral:lncRNA from 1 species